rnacentral:rRNA from 1 species
AUUGAACGCUGGCGGCAGGCCUAACACAUGCAAGUCGAACGCGUGGCGGACGGGUGAGUAAUGUCUGGGAAACUGCCUGAUUGAGGGGGAUAACUACUGGAAACGGUAGCUAAUACCGCAUACCAUCAGAUGUGCCCAGAUGGGAUUAGCUAGUUGGUGGGGGAACGGCUCACCAAGGCGACGAUCCCUAGCCGGUGUGAGAGUAUGACCAGCCAAACUGGAACUUAGACACGGUCCAGACUCAUACGGGAGGCAGCAGUGGGGAAUAUUGCACAAUGGGCGCAAGCCUGAGGCAGCCAUGCCGCGUGUAUGAAGAAGGCCUUCGGGUUGUAAAGUACUUUCAGCGGGGAGGCGUUACCCGCAGAAGAAGCACCGGCUAACUCCGUGCCAGCAGCCGCGGUAAUUC